rnacentral:rRNA from 1 species
AGUGAACGCUGGCGGUAGGCCUAACACAUGCAAGUCGAACGGCAGCACAGUAAGAGCUUGCUCUUACGGGUGGCGAGUGGCGGACGGGUGAGGAAUACAUCGGAAUCUACUUUUUCGUGGGGGAUAACGUAGGGAAACUUACGCUAAUACCGCAUACGACCUACGGGUGAAAGCAGGGGAUCUUCGGACCUUGCGCGAUUGAAUGAGCCGAUGUCGGAUUAGCUAGUUGGCGGGGUAAAGGCCCACCAAGGCGACGAUCCGUAGCUGGUCUGAGAGGAUGGUCGCCCACACUGGAACUGAGACACGGUCCAGACUCCUACGGGAGGCAGCAGUGGGGAAUAUUGGACAAUGGGCGCAAGCCUGAUCCAGCCAGACCGCGUGGGUGAAGAAGGCCUUCGGGUUGGAAAGCCCUUUUGUUGGGAAAGAAAAGCAGCAGGUUAAUACCCCGCUGUUCUGACGGUACCCAAAGAAUAAGCACCGGCUAACUUCGUG